GUAGUUGGAGGAUGAAGGAAGAGCAAUCGAGCGCAGAUCGAUAGAUAGCGUUCAUUGGCACACAGGACUCCUCUUGGGCCAAUCAGCACCAAUGUUUUGGAGCACAGGGCGUUACCCGCCAUGAAACAAAGAAGAAGUGCUUGCCUGACUUGCGUGACCACCACCAUGGAUUCGGCUGGGACAAAUACGAUUCCUGCUGCUCCAGUAGCUCUGAUCGACUUCUCCUCUGCUAAAGCCAAAAAAAAAAAGCUUGACCGUUCUAUUGAUGGCAGGACAACUGAAAACCAGUUAUGGAUGCAAACAUGAAGCACAAGCCAGAGGAGUCUAUGAGAAGCUGAUGGGUCGGGAGCAUGCAGGCUUCUCCUGUAUGGACAGUGGUCUCUGGCUGAACCCCAAGUGGCCAUACAUGGGG